rnacentral:rRNA from 1 species
CCUACGGGAGGCAGCAGUGAGGAAUAUUGGACAAUGGGCGCAAGCCUGAUCCAGCCAUGCCGCGUGCAGGAUGACGGCCCUAUGGGUUGUAAACUGCUUUUAUACAGGAAGAAACAGUUCUACGUGUAGAACCUUGACGGUACUGUAAGAAUAAGGAUCGGCUAACUCCGUGCCAGCAGCCGCGGUAAUA